rnacentral:rRNA from 1 species
GCUCAACCGAAGAAGUGCAUCGGAAACUGGGAAACUUGAGUGCAGAAGAGGACAGUGGAACUCCAUGUGUAGCGGUGAAAUGCGUAGAUAUAUGGAAGAACACCAGUGGCGAAGGCGGCUGUCUGGUCUGUAACUGACGCUGAGGCUCGAAAGUAUGGGUAGCAAACAGGAUUAGAUACCCUGGUAGUCCAUACCGUAAACGAUGAAUGCUAAGUGUUGGAGGGUUUCCGCCCUUCAGUGCUACAGCUAACGCAUUAAGCAUUCCGCCUGGGGAGUACGGCCGCAAGGCUGAAACUCAAAGGAAUUGACGGGGGCCCGCACAAGCGGUGGAGCAUGUGGUUUAAUUCGAGGCUACGCGAAGAACCUUACCAGGUCUUGACAUACUAUGCAAAUCUAAGAGAUUAGACGUUCCCUUCGGGGACAUGGAUACAGGUGGUGCAUGGUUGUCGUCAGCUCGUGUCGUGAGAUGUUGGGUUAAGUCCCGCAACGAGCGCAACCCUUAUUAUCAGUUGCCAGCAUUAAGUUGGGCACUCUGGUGAGACUGCCGGUGACAAACCGGAGGAAGGUGGGGAUGACGCCAAAUCAUCAUGCCCCUUAUGACCUGGGCUACACACGUGCUACAAUGGAUGGUACAACG